AGAAGUCUGGGGAAGAGCCGGCGAAGAGCAAAGAGAUAAUACAGUACUCCCAGCUAUAGCAAGCGGCAGUUAUGGAGCAUGCGCAGCAGCAGGGGCGGCCGCAGGUCGCCGUUCAAUAAUACUCAAGGGAUUUGUACAGCCCUGUAGGAGACACCUCCAGAGAAAGUAACAGCUCUCAAUUGAUUAGCUGAGAAUAAACAGAUGCUUUUACAGCUCGCCUUGGCGGGAAGAUCUGGCACAAAUGAAGUAUCUAUAAGGAGCAGCAGAGUCAAGGUGGUGAUCCUGUGGAUGAAUAACUGAAACCUGAUAUACUUGACAGCAGAAAAUAUAAAGCAAAUUGAAAAGGAGAGAGUGUGGAGAUAAAUAAGAAAAUGAAAGAACUGAUAAAGUCACUUGGAUUAAAAAACCUGGGAGUAAGGGCUUUGUUUAUGAUUGAACUUAAGAGAGAAUUGAGGGACCACCUACCUUUGAUGUUAACGAGAAAGUAAAGAGGAAACAUAUUUAGAGAUACCCUUUGGUGAAAAACAGAAAUGGAUGUGUCAUUUGAUGCAUCACAUUAUUUAUUCAACAAACUCUUAGUGAGAACUUACUGUGUAUGAAAGACUGGACUGAAACAUAUAUAAGAAAUAAUUUUUGGCCCAAGGAAUUUAUAGUAUAAUUGAGGAAACAAAUACAAAUCACUUCUGCAAAGUAGCAGAGACACAGAUGAGGAAUUGUAAUGUUUGUAAAAUCAAAGUGGUGGGAGUAGUCAAAAAAGUGUUUACAGAAUGGUAUUCAAAAUGGGCCUG
rnacentral:lncRNA from 1 species